UGCAGUCGAGCGAAUGGAUUAAGAGCUUGCUCUUAUGAAGUUAGCGGCGGACGGGUGAGUAACACGUGGGUAACCUGCCCAUAAGACUGGGAUAACUCCGGGAAACCGGGGCUAAUACCGGAUAACAUUUUGCACCGCAUGGUGCGAAAUUCAAAGGCGGCUUCGGCUGUCACUUAUGGAUGGACCCGCGUCGCAUUAGCUAGUUGGUGAGGUAACGGCUCACCAAGGCAACGAUGCGUAGCCGACCUGAGAGGGUGAUCGGCCACACUGGGACUGAGACACGGCCCAGACUCCUACGGGAGGCAGCAGUAGGGAAUCUUCCGCAAUGGACGAAAGUCUGACGGAGCAACGCCGCGUGAGUGAUGAAGGCUUUCGGGUCGUAAAACUCUGUUGUUAGGGAAGAACAAGUGCUAGUUGAAUAAGCUGGCACCUUGACGGUACCUAACCAGAAAGCCACGGCUAACUACGUGCCAGCAGCCGCGGUAAUACGUAGGUGGCAAGCGUUAUCCGGAAUUAUUGGGCGUAAAGCGCGCGCAGGUGGUUUCUUAAGUCUGAUGUGAAAGCCCACGGCUCAACCGUGGAGGGUCAUUGGAAACUGGGAGACUUGAGUGCAGAAGAGGAAAGUGGAAUUCCAUGUGUAGCGGUGAAAUGCGUAGAGAUAUGGAGGAACACCAGUGGCGAAGGCGACUUUCUGGUCUGUAACUGACACUGAGGCG
rnacentral:rRNA from 1 species